GUCUACGAUACGAUCAAUCCCUCAGACAACUAUAAUAAUGAUGCUGGUGCUGGACCAAGUCAUGUGACGUACGCCCAGAUUCGACUCAAAAAGUUGGACAAGAAAAAGAAGGAAAAGCCAGCUGAUCCAAAAGGAAGUCCAGUCUACUCUGAGGUGAAGACAGGAAAAUCCACAAGUAAGACCAAUUCUACAAGUUGGCAG